rnacentral:rRNA from 1 species
AUUGAACGCUGGCGGCAUGCCUAACACAUGCAAGUCGAACGGCCGCACGGGAAGAUCUUGCCGUUGCCGGUUGCGGGUGGCGGGCGUGUUAGAAAUGCAUCUGACUCUUCUUUUUCGUGGGUGAGAACGUAGGAAAACUUACACUACUACCGCAUACGACCUACCGGUGAGAGCAAUUGAUCUUCCGCCCUUUCGCGUUUGAAUUAGCCGAUUUCGGGUUAGAUAGUUGGCUUGGUAAAGUCCCACCAAGGCGACGAUCCGUAGCUGGUCUGAGAGGAUGAUCAGCCACACUGGAACUGAGACACGGUCCAGACUCCUACGGGAGGCAGCAGUGGGGAAUAUUGGACAAUGGGCGAAAGCCUGAUCCAGCAAUACCGCGUGGGUGAAGAAGGCCUUCGGGUUGUAAAGCUCUUUUGUUGGGAAAGAAAAGCAGCAGGUUAAUACCUUGAUGUUAUGACGGUACCUAAAGAAUAAGCACCGGCUAACUACGUG